rnacentral:misc_RNA from 2 species
CAGAGCGUGAGGCUCAGUCGUGGCGUCAGCUGCGUGCUGGGCCGACCCUCCCACCCGUGUCGAUUUCUAUCUUGUUGCUUUGGCGGGCCGGGCUACGUCGUCGCUGCCCGUACGGACAUGCGUCGGCCGCCCACCGGUUUCGACUGGAGCGCGUCCGCCAAAGACCUAACCAAAACUCAUGUUGUCUUUGUCGUCUCAGCUUUAUUAUUGAAUUGAUA